AAAAGAAAGAAAGUAAAAGAAAGAAAAAAGGAAGGAAGAAAGGCUUCUUCUUGUCUGAGCCUUCCCUACAAACUGAGAAGAGAGGCCGAGUUUUGUGUGCCCAUUUUACAGAUGAAGAGACCGAGGCUAUGCCACAGCACAGCCUGCCCAAAGUCACAGAGGAAAGCAGGAACAGAGCAAGCCGCAGUCCAAAGCCCUUGACCUGAUUCCUUGCUCAAAGACAUUUGCUUCUAGAACAGCCCCUCAGCCUGUACGCCAGGCCCGGAAGCAGAUGUUGAAGGAAACGUCUGUACUCAAAAAGCAAUGGGGUGAACCAAACUCCCCGAAGUUCCUGGAGGAGUGGUACAACAGCCGAGGAACAGCAGCAGGGCCAGUGAUGGCACCAGGCCCCUGCAUGCUGAGCAGGGCCCCUCCCUGACCACAGAUCACAGGCUCCCCAAGCAGCAGUUGUGGUCCAGAUAAAUGAGGUGAGGGGUCUGGAUGGUAGUUCCUGGCACUACCAGCAUUCCCGUGCUGGUCAGGGGCAGACCUUGUGGCCAGAGGACACUCCCCGGAGCAGGGCUGGCCAGGCAUCCCUAUGCUGCCACCCCAGGCUCUGCUCCUGCAGGGGGAAGGAUGGGUGAGGCUCGGACGCCCAGGACUUGCCCUGAGCUUGCGCCACAUAUGUCUGGGAUUGGCUGGAGAGAAUGCAUUUUUUUGUUGUUUUGUGACAGGGUCUGGAUAUAUAGUCAGGCUGGCCUUGAACUCAUGGCAAUCCUCCUGCCUCAGCCUCCUAAGGCUGCACCACUACACCAGGCAAGAACACAUUUGGGGGUGGUACUGGGGAUCAAACUCAGGCCCUUAUGCUUGCAGGGUGGGCGGCAGAACCCCUGAGCCAAAUCCCCCGCCCUUGCUCGAGGUUUUGAUUGAGCGGUCGGUUGAGCUCAGGUUUCCUGACCUGGGACCACAGCCACAUCUCUUCCUAUGCUGGAUUGGGAAAUAUUUCCAUUCUCUGACAGUGGGUCUCUAUUACUCAGGCUGGACAGCUGCAGGGAGCGGUGUCGCAGUGGUUGGACACAGUUGCGGGAAAGCUUCUGCUCCUGUGGGGGUCCACAGUGGGGUGAGCAGCUGUGUUAGCCAAUGUUCCCUGGAGAAACAACCAAUAGGAGAGAGACGAGGAGAGAUCUGUUGUCAGGUACUGGCUCACGGGAUCAUAGAGGCUGAGAAAUCCCAGACUGGCUGCUCACUGGAGGCCCAGAAGGUCAUGGUUCACCGGAAGGCCGAAGGUCAGGGAGCUGACAGCAGAGAUUCAGCCUGGGCCCCAAGGGAAGGCGGAGACCGAGGGGACCCAGGGCAGGCGGAGCCACCCCGCCCUUGGGCCCUGCACACCAGCACCAAGACUUGGGCUCCGUGGUGUCUCAAGCGCUAGGCCUGGGAGGCAGAACCUGGCGGGGUCUGUUAGAUGUGUUCCAGGCCCAGUGCGGGAAGCUGUUUUGAUUAAAUUUGGGAGCAUAAUUGCAGGGUUUGCGCUGCGGUCUCAUUAUGGCUUUUUUAAUCUUGUUAACCUCUCUCCCCAGCCCCCAGCCCCCCUCCGCCUCCCUCCACAACCACAGGCUGGGGCCUUAGAACAAUACCGGGAAUAUUUUCCGUCUCUCCGUCACAGCUUUCUCCUCCCCUAGGUUGGAUCCCUGAGGCAGGAUGAAGAGAAGGUAGGAAGAACAAAGGCAGGAUGGGCGCGCAGGGGAUCUAACGUGGUCUGCUCACCCGUGUGGCCUCUGGGUUCAGUUCCCACACGUCCAGCGGGGACCCAAGGAGGUACUGGGCCCAGCUCUAGCCCAGGCGCUCGGUAAAUGAGGCUCCCGGGCCCCAUUCUCUGGGAAAAUGGUAAAGUCGGGUUGAAUAAUAACACGGUGAGUGGAGACGAGGCUCCAGGAGUCUGAGGCAGCAGAGAAGCAGGUAGCGUGGGAGGGCUGGGAAGGGCAGAGGUGCCGGGCAGGCUAGGAGGGAGCAGAGUACAACGUGGGCUUGGCAUUAGUCAGGAUGGCCCCGCUUUGCUGCGGUAACAGACAAGCCCACAGUGGCUGUGUGCAGUAACGGGCGACUUCCUGUACAGUCUCCCUGCUCCAUACUCUUCUCUGACUUGAUACUGGCUCUUCAACGUCCUUCAUCAGAAGGUGUCUGUCAUCUCCUCCCAGCCCCCAGCUCCUAAAGGUACUUGUGAAUGCACCAUUAAGUGCUCUGUGGCCCUGAGCUUGUGCCCUAACUCCCUCCAGGGGUGUGUGUGUGUGGGGGUCAAAUGUCACCCCUUUCAGGAAACCCCUGGUGUCUCACAGCUAAAGCAAUCUCCCCAUCCCUUGGAGUCCUUUGCAAGAGCGCCCACUUUCGAGCUUACGGGGCCAGGAGUGUAUGCCCACGUGUCCUCUGCCUUCUCAGCCUCAAGCCCUCCUGAGAGACCCAUCCCAGUCAUAUCCUGUCCUGCCCACUCCGCGGUGGCAUGAGAUGGCCCCAGACUUGACCCAAACAUGGCUGAGCUAGUAAGUGGGUGAAACGUAGGGCUGGAGCUGGCAGGGAGGGACCAGGGGGUGCCUAGGGCAGAGCCUAGGAGUCAGAGCUGGGUUUGAACUCUUCCUAGACCUGGGCAGCCUUCCUGGGCAGGGGCAGAGCAGGCCAGAGGAGGACAGGAGGAGGAAAUCCUGGCAGGCGCUCAGAUGGUGGGAGGGAAGCCAUGUGUGGGCAGCCAUCCCCGUGGGGUAGGAGCUGGGCCAGGUAUGGGAAAGGCUCUCCCUCCCUCCCAGGGCUGUGUCUCAGGAGCCACACUGGGACACACUAGCUGGGUUGUCACUGAACGGCCAAGGGCUGCCCCUCCACCACCUCACUCUGUGCCUGAUGCUCCUGCCAUCUUGGGGCAGGGCCACUGUGUGUCACCAGGCUUUGCCUGCUCCCGAGAGCCCUCCUCCUCUGGCCUCAGCCUGGCCACCCCUACCUGCCUGGUGCCCCCACCCCCGCACAGCCUUCCUUCCAGGACGUCCCCAGACCUGUCCAUCCGUGCCGAGACCUGGCCGGCUCACAGAUCCACCUGUCACCUUUUCUGCUUUCUCUGCGGGGCUCCGAGAAGCCAGCCCUGAUGUUUUCUCCGCCCUUGAGCUGGUGGGAUGAGCCCUGAAGGGGGCCUCUUUGAGGCCUGGCAGCCAAUUUCCUCCCAGGUGUUCUGGAAGGAGAACAUUUUCAGUGCCCAGUUCAUGUCACAGAGGACAAGAACAAGUGAUCAACUAUGUUAAAGGAGACUCACAGGGACUUUAGUUCUUAGAGGGGGAAAUGGAAGCUUGGAGAGGCCAGGCCCUGGGCCGUCCCAGUAGUCGGUGGCCUUCAGCCCUGUGCGCUCUUCCUCCUGUGUGGUGCUGCGCCUGUGUGACUUGCAGGUCACGUGAGCUCCCUCCUCCACCGCAUGGUAGGUUGCAUUCAAGUUCAAAGCCGCCCCUGUCCUGGUCGCGGUCGUCAUUUCCCCACCACCGCUGUGGCCGGGACGCAGGGCGGGGCUCCUGGUGCUCACACAGGCUCCUCCAAGCCCAGGCUGCGGCCCUGGGCACAGCUGCUUCUCAGAAGCGGUGCACUGUGGGUGGGGGGACCAGCGCCAUUGGGCCGAUGGGAGUUUCUGGACCGGCUGCUGAGACCUGCCUGACAAAGCCCGAGGACACGGGGAGGGGCUGCUGCCUCCCCAGAACCACCCUGCUCCCCUUUAGGGCUGUGUUCUCAGCUGAUGACAACUGAGUUCGACGGGAGCCUGACAGAGUGAGUAAUUAGACACUAAUUAAUUUGCAUUUCACAGGGGAGUCGGGUGUUAGGGGGAAAAGCUGCAAAGAUGAAAGCCCUCUUCCAGGGCUAUCUGCGACGAGACACAGCCCCGAGUCAAGGAGGGAAAGGCAGGUGAACGGGGCAGGCUGUGGGCGUGGACACAGCCAGGCCAAGGCAGAAAGCCCUAGGGUCCCUGUGGCAUGGAGAGGUAUUUGGAGUGGAGGAGGGAGAGAAACAGAGAUGUGACAUGUCCACAUUCCUAGAGCGGCAUUGGCGAACUUUCACUGCAAAGGGCCGCCUCAUAAAUAUUUUCAGCUUUGCAGGACAUGGUAGUUGGUAGUCAACGUAUUCUCUGUAAAAGAUGCCAACGUCUUCUUAGGCUGAUGGCCAAACAAGUUACAGCUGGCCUCUACCUCUGGUCGCCAAAUGACCUGUAGGGCCCAAGGUAAAUUCUGCAUUUCUAACAAGGAUCGGGGUGAUUCUGGAACCCACUUUGAAUUUGGAGGGUCAGGGCCUCGGCAGAAGGUGGGGCUGCUGGCACAGGUCAUCUGGGCAUAGUGAGGCCUGCACGAGAGAUGAACCUCUCAUUUGCAUGGCGACACGAGGGCCCCAGGCUUCCCAGCAACCCCCCCACCACAAGAAACAAAGGUAGAAAGGAACUGAGGAAAAGCAGGAUUUUACAAUUGCACUUUUAAGAAAGCUGGAGUUUCCGGACACCCUCAAAGUUACCCAAGGUUACAAUGUUUUUUUUUUUUCCCUUCCGGGCCACUCACUUCUAAAUUCCUAAAUCGUACAGAUAUAAUAGGCCGAGCCCGGGCCUUUCUCCUGUAAAACAGACCUUUCACCUGUGAAUGGGCCGUCACCUUUCACCUGUAGAUUGAGGCUGAGCUUUCUAUAGAUUCACAAACUAUGCAGAUUUCUGCAGGAUUCUAUCCCAGCACUUAGACGCACCCUGCUGCGGCUGCAUCUGAGGCCUCCUGCUCCCUCUUCGAGGACAGAAAGGUGCCUUCUCACAAUCUUGCAGGCCACACGUCUGGAGUCAGUGCUACCGCUGAAAUCAGCAUCCAGCUCCCGGGAGAGUCCGCUUCUACGUGUCCCAGCCACUGCCAGCACCAGUCCUGUCUUCAAGACAGCGUCCUCAAACCCCUCUGAGUCCAGAAGUCAGGUCUCCCUCCACCUGUCCCUUCCUAGGACACUUGUGGCAUUUAGGACCCACCCUGACAGACCAGGAGAACCUGACCCUCCCAAAGUCCUGAACCCCGCCACGCCUGCAGAGUCUGGUUUUCCACUUAUCCUCCCCCAAUUCCUUCCAGUCUGUACUGAUUAAACACCCAGCUCUGCCCACACUGCAGCUUUCAGUUAGAAUGACCCCUGCCGCUCACGUCAGCUGAGCACAUACCCCUGCACAGUCCUUAAUGCACUGCGUCAUGUGUCCCUGCCCAGAGGCCAGCGCUGUGCCAAUCCUCCUUGCACAGCUAAGGAAACGAGGGCCGGGGGGAGUGAAGUAAUUUGCCUGCUGUCCUCAGAUGUGCAGCUGGGAUUCCUGCCUCAUGUCUGACUGAAACCUCAUCACUGGCUACCAUGGAUUGCCUCCCGGUGUAAACCGGGCUGCUCCAUGAAGCUGUUUACAAAGUUCGGUCCCGUUUGAACUUCUAAGCGAGUCUCUUAUCAGAUCCCACAAACUGCAGACAUAACACAGGAAGGGCUGUUCUAGAAAGCUGAAAAUCCAAUUACAACAGCCCAGGGAAUGCAGUACUUUGGAGAUGCAUUUGUGACCUCUGCCAAGAAGCAGGAUCCCCGAGGGAGAGGGGAGGCCCGGGCUCCGCCUGGCCCUUUGACAGCGCACCUCGAGGCCUUGUUAUUGUUCAUCCUGCUCCGAACUGUUGGGACUUAAGAGAUGGGUCCUGCUCUUGCUGGAUUUACGGACUGAACUCCUUGGUGAAGGUGGCUGGCCUUUGGAGAACAGGUCUAUCAAGAGAGGAGUAGAAUUUAAGAAGCAAAUGGGGCCAGCUCGCCUGCCUGGGGAGUGCAGGGAGGGAGCAGCCUGGACGCUCCCCUUCCCGGGUGCAGAGAUGCCCAGAGCACAGGUUCCCCGGGCAGCCGGGGUGGGCAGUGUUCACCCUGCGGUGCCCAGCACAGCAGAGGGCAAAUGGUAGGAGGGCACGCUGGAGGGAGGCGGUGCUGGCCACAGGGCACAGGGGUGCUGGGCAGGCCACACCAAGAGCCAGAAGUCAUUCCUCAAGGCUGUGAGCACCCCUGCAAGAUCUUAUGCAGGAAAGAGACGUUUGUGUGUGCCACAGAAAGGUUUCUCUGGCUGUGGCCGUGGAGGGCUUGGACUCAUGGGAAUCAGGAGGAAGGACUGGGUUCUGUCCCUUUUCUUUCCGUUUUUCUCUCUUCCCUUCUCCUCUCCCUUCCUCCUCCUUACCAUCCUCUGCAUCCCGCACCCUGCCACCUGGUAACCACCCUUCUGCUCUGUUUUGUUUUUUUAAAAAAAUCAAUCCUUUUUAUUUGUUUCAGCAGAAGAGCGAGGACACACAGCAUUUGUUUUUAUGCCUUGGUGUAGUGUCCUCUGGGCUCUGGCAUGUCACAACGACAGAAAAUGCUUUUGGAGGCUGCGUAGUAUUCCACGGUGUGUGUACACAUUGUCUAUUGAGUGACAUUAACGCUGAUUUCAUAUGUUGGUUAUUUUGGAUAAAGCUCCAAUCAACAUGGGAGUGCAGAUGUCAUUUUGACAUACAGAUUUCAUUUCCUUUGGGUGGAUUCUCAGAA